GGUGAAGUGGCCGAGAGGCUGAAGGCACUCCCCUGCUAAGGGAGUAUAGGGUUUAUCCCCUAUCGAGGGUUCGAAUCCCUCCUUCACCG
rnacentral:tRNA from 1 species